AAGGAUCAUUAAUGAAUGAAUGUAGAGUUUGGGUUGUAGCUGACCUCUCAGAGGUAUGUGCACACCCUUCUCUUUCAUCCACACACCCCCUGUGCACUUGUGAGACAGAGGCCUUUUUUUUCCUUUAACUAGGAAUCAAGGUUUCUGUCUAUCAUCACAUAAAAUCUAAUUUAAUUAAAUCUGAAUGUAAUUUGAUGUAACGCAUCUAAUACA
rnacentral:misc_RNA from 1 species